AAUGAACGCUGGCGGCAUGCUUUACACAUGCAAGUCGAACGGACACACGAGCUUCUUCCUCGCCGCGCGUUACCGACGGGUGGGUGAUUCAUACGAACGUGCCCAACCUAUAGGGCUAGGCCGGCUAAGGCCGGCUUAAUAACGCAUACGACCUAAGGGUGAAAGCGGGGGUCCAAAAGGCCACGCGGUUUUGGAGCCGCCGAUGGCGGAUUAGCUAGUUGGUUGGGUAAAGGCUUACCAAGGCGACGAUCCGUAGCAGGUCUGAGAGGACGACCGGCCACACUGGAACUGAGACACGGCCCAGACUCCUACGGGAGGCAGCAGUGGGGAAUUUUGGGCAAUGGGCGAAAGCCUGACCCAGCAAUGCCGCGUGAGGGAAGAAGGUCUUCGGGUCGUAAACCGCUGUUGUUCGGGAAGAACAACUGUGGGCGAAUAUACCGGGGGGAUGACGGUACCGGAUGAAUAAGCAACGGCUAACUACGUG
rnacentral:rRNA from 1 species